rnacentral:lncRNA from 1 species
GGUGGUUUGGGUAGAUUUAGGAUUUGACUUCUUCUUCUUUUUUUUUUUUUUUUUUAAUAAAUAAGUAAGUAAUAAAAUAAAUAAAUAAAAAUUUAUUUUAAUAUGACUUUAUUUUGUAGUUUUCCAAACUUUAAAAGCAAUCUUGUAAAAUAAGAUACUAAAUAACGUAAAACAUUCGGUUUGGUCAAAAAUUAGGUGUUUACAG